GAUGAACGCUGGCGGUAUGCUUAACACAUGCAAGUCGAACGGGGCUUUUCGGAGCCUAGUGGCGGACGGGUGAGUAACGCGUGAGAACGUGCCUUUAGAUUGGGGACAACAGUUGGAAACGACUGCUAAUACCGAAUGAACCGAGAGGUAAAAGAUUUAUCGUCUAAAGAUCGGCUCGCGUCAGAUUAGGUAGUUGGAGUGGUAACGGCACACCAAGCCUACGAUCUGUACUUGGUCUGAGAGGAUGACCAGGCACACUGGAACUGAGACACGGUCCAGACUCCUACGGGAGGCAGCAGUGGGGAAUUUUCCGC
rnacentral:rRNA from 1 species